ensembl:lncRNA
CCCGACAGGUGCUGCCUGUUUUAUGUGUCAGACGGGCAGCCUAAGCGUUUUCUGCAAUGCCUCUUUCCUUCACAGGAAGCGCAGCCGGCGGUUUGUUUCACACAACUGCGGCCCAUGUGUUCCCCAGGACUGAACACAGCUUUUGUGCAUUUCAGGAAACGCACAACUGUUUACAGCACGUAGUGCCGUGUGCUGCAUCACGCGAGAGGGUCUGUGCGUGGUUUGAAAACAUGAGCAGAGCCCGAAAGGAGUUUGUGCAAGUCGGAUGAGAACAUCAAGUACCGAUCUCUCGCUCCGGUAAAUAUGUAGCCGGGGCCUGAAAGCGGGUUAGCUUAGCUUAGCUUAGCAUGAGAAUCUAAAGAACCUGCACCUCCCAGGCUCACAAAGCGACACGCUGUGUCUCACUGGGUUUAAUCUGUAUGAAAUAAUUAAAGUGGCUUCAAUGGGGUUACUGGAUUAGUUCCUGGCUGGGAGCAGUGACUUCAGUGAAUGUACACUGGCCUUUCAGUGCGGAUUAUACAAAGAAGACACAAAGUGUUAAAGAGCUUUGGUGGCGCUGGUGGGCGGAUGUUUUUCUACCUUUGGACGGAGCCAUGAGAUUCAUGUUCAACAAACAGACCCGCUGGUUUAGAUGCUCACGUCCUACUGGCCAUCGCGAAAACGCACGCUCACAACACAAAAUGUUCCUCCGGCUCCGACUACAACAACACAACAACACAAAUGUUAAUACAUGUGAAAUAAAAAGAAAUAAAAGUCAGAAUGGUGCACACUAAAUGUCAAUAUAUUAACAAAAAAUAAGAGAUCCCUAACUGGAAUAUUUCCAUUCCUUAUUUAAAACCCAGAUUGCACACAUUGAUUAGUUCCUGCAUGGAUACCCCCCCCCCCCCCCCCACUCGUCCUCCAACUGGUCCAGCUUCUAAUGUUGCUCAUGGAAAUAUGCUAAUGCCAUCAGUCCCGAUCGCUGAUUCCCUUUGAACUUUUACUUUGUCGCGGGCUGACUGGAGCCACAGAGGUAGAGAGCAGGAGGGUUUCUGCCGAAUGCCCACGGCCCCUCUUCCACCAUCUGCCGGACCUCAUUUCAUUUGAAUAAUAAAUGAUUGGCUUUUCCUUUUCUUUUUUUUGGACCCCCCCUGCAAACACAUGAGGCGCUUCGGGCUCCUCUUUUUCUGCAGUUUGAGAGAAAAAAAAAGAAGGAAAAAAACAACGGCCACGGCGGCGGACGGCGGCGGCGGCGCGCUGCGUCUGCAGGCCGCAGCAGCCCGGAGAACGCCGAGUGUGCACAAAGUCUUCUGAGCCUCGCGCUGGAGGGAUUGAGCUCUUCCUUUAUGUUGAGUAACUGCACAUGAAUAGGCAUCCUGUUUUCCUUCAAGAACAAAAAGACGCAGAAAAAUAUUUUCACGCUGGGUCGAUUCCCUCAAAUGAAAAAAAUGUUCAGUGCCAAAGAAUGAACCAAGAAUAGAUGCUAUCAGCAGGAUACGCUGACGAGGUUACAUUCUUGCCGUUGAUGGCCACCCGAUAACAAGAGCGGCUCUAUUCAAUCACUGGAACGUGAGAAGAUGUAAAACGCGGAGAGGAUGGCAAAGGCUUUCACUCUUUUGCACUGAUAUUUCCUUAAUGUCACGUUACGUGGUUCCCAGCUGGAGAUGAGCGGAGGCAGAACGAAUUCAAACGUCUCGAACCUCAAAGACACAGAGCGCCGCUGCAAACAGCAAUAAAGCCCCUGGCCUCUGGCCUCUGGUGCACUUCCCAUCGCCACACUUUAUAACAGUGUUGAUGUGCUCACCAAUGGAUUCAAAUAGAGGCAAUAGGCGCCUCUUUCACCCUCCAGCAGUCAGCAUGCGGAUCUCAAACAGCAGAGCGGUGUGAUUAGCAUGCACACGCUUGGUAUGGAUUCAAUCCACUAUGAUUUCCACUUCAUGUGGAGCAGGAUCGGGACGUAAAUGUUAACAGCAUGCCGGUCCUCCUUUCGUCAAAAAAGCCAAACAAAUGAUGUAUGAACCUUGAAGCGUGCAUUUGUCUUUGAAGAGAUUAUUUUGCAGGAUGGUACAAAGCGGUGGGAUUUAUUAAGAACAAACGUCUUGGACGGUCUGUGCAGGGGAAAUGUGGAAAGAGUGCGUGAAUCUGGUCUCCUGCUGUGCACCUCCACGGCCUCUCACAACGAAUGUCCUCUGCAGGUCUCCAGGAGCCGGGAAACAGGGAUUGCCCUUGACACAUGAGGUAUGAUCGAAAAAAAAAGAAAACAGCUGAAACCCGAGGGAUCAGCGGGGGCAGUGAGGCAGGUUGUUCCAUUUCCCCUUCGUUUAAAACCUACUGCCAAGCUCUGCUUGCACUUGGACCCACGUGCCCGGCCGGGAACAACGCGAGCCGGCUAGAAUUAACGGAAACAAUUAUCAGGCAAACCUCGCAAUUAACCAGCUCCCAAAAUUCUACUCCGCACGAGUUGCUUACGGAAAAUCAGUUGGGAUAAAACGUGCAUAGUAAUAAUAAUAAUAAUAAUGAUGAUAGGAGAACACAAAGUGGGACACAGAGAUGGGGUUCACCUUUCCUCCUCCCCUUCCCAAUCAAAAAGAUCAGCGGUGAUAACGGCAAAGCAGGCGUCUCAGCUGCUGCCCCGCAAAAGCAUUUCAAUUAGCAGGGUGUUGAUGAGCUCUCGCUAUCGUAGCUAAAGCGAGAACACCAGGGUAUAUCGAGCGAGCGCAGUCAACGCUCACUUACACAUGGCGCUAAUCACUGGGAUCAGCUCGAGCCCCGCUGCGAAAACAUUCUCCAUUGUCACCUUUGAUCACGAGCGCACAGCCGAUGCACGAGAGGUAACGGCACGUGAGACAGCAGGGGUUUCAGUACGUUGCAUCAUUUGCUGCAGAAUUGAUUCAGUCCUCAUAGCAUUAUCAUGUUUAACGUGACAUCGUGGUGCAACACCUAUGGGUAUCUAUUUCCGACCUACAAAGAAUAAACGUGGUAUCAGCAUAUCUUAGAUCUUCACAUCAUGUGAAAAACAUAUCACAUCAUGAAGGUGAAAACAAUGUAGAAGAAAGAUAACGAGAACUAAUGUUCUAGCUAACGCAAGAGCGCUGUAUCAAGCUAAAAGUAGCUGGUGAGGUCGCUACAGGUAGCAUCACCUUGAACUAAAAGGAAACGAGACUAACGUACGUGGAAUACAGGACCCAGACUAUGGGAUGUUUGAACAGGGAAAUACACAAAUUCAGCCAUAUUGACUAUAAAAAUCCUUGGAUGGAAUCUAAUAUUUACACUCCUAUCACAGAUCAGUGGACAAAUAUAUAUAAAUAUAUAUAUAUAUUUUUUAAUCAUUAUUUUUUUUUUACAUUUCACUGCCUCCAGUGACGUCACUGAUUGAAUCUAUUAGAAAGAUGAAUUGUCGUUGGGUACAUUUUUAACUUGAGGUGCUCAAUCAGGAAGCAUAUUGCCUCCACACGGCUGUCAGCGGCUAGCAGCUAACGUUGCUAACAGCACAAACAGCGCCGACAGAGAUAACAGCGUCUACCUUAAAGAUAACUAACCGGAGGCCGGGCGCUAACCGGAGGCCGGGCGCUAACCGGAGGCCGGGCGCUGACCUCCAGCGGGGACGCCGUGGGUCGGCAGAGUGUCAUCGUGGAUAACCGUCGCAUAAGGGGGGCAUUGCCCAGCCAACGGGGCACAAAUGAAAGACUAACACGGACAGCUAAACAAACAAAGCGAAGAGAAGGUUGUGUUACAACACACAGAGGGACUCUGGGACACGUCAUUGGAUUAGCUGGUAGAUUAAUCAUCUGAAUCCUGUCUACACAACCGUAAAGAUAUUGACUGGUAAAUACAACAAAAAGAGAGAGAACACAUUUUGUUUUUAUUUUUAGCAAUUUUUCCUUUAAUUUAAUAAUAAUAAUAAUUUAAUUUCCUUUAAUAAUACUAGUAAUCAAACUAAGAAGACUCUUUGAGGGUUUUUUAUAGAGUUUUUCAUUCAAGAAUAUAUACACACAUCCAUUUUUAUCAAAGUUGCACAUGUGAAAGUACAUUUCGGGAAUAGAAAACAGAAAUAAAAAGGUUUUUCAUGCAGCGUUCUUUCUCUAUCCUCUGGACAAAGCAUCUGCAGCAGCGUUACACUGAACAAUAAGCGAACAUAAGGACAUUAUGUUUCAUGCCGUGCACUCAAACAACUGUUCAGGUGAUUGUGUUUUAACUCCCCUCUCGAGGCAAACCUUUUAGCCUUUCAUUUCGUUUUACUAUUUUUACAAACAGAUUUCAAAUUGUCUGUCGCGCCGCCAGGUUCACGGUCCCCGGCGCGCGAACGCUAAAAUCGAGUUGUGGUGCGUUGACGCGCGAUUGUCUGACAGUCCAGAAUGGUGGCAUGAAGGGCCGGAUCCGGCCGCGAGCGAGAGGAGGCAGAGAGGGGGCAGAAAGGGGGAGAGAGAGAGGGAGAGAGAGGGAGAGAGAGGAGAGAGACUGGGCCCCCGGCAAGCUGCCCUGGCUUUGUUUACAACAAAAAGCUAUUGUUUGAUGUGGUUGCGCAGCCGGCUCCAAAGCUCCCGCUCCCACAGGAUGUGCUCUGGGUAAAAUGCCAGACGGAGGCCACUGCUGGAUGCGUUCGACCUCGCCAUACUGGGACUCGCAGUCCUCCUGAGGCCUCCGGGGACUUGGGAGAAGUACAUAAAACAACAGCGGUUUGGUGUAUUUUUGUUUUCGUGUCUUUUAUGGGGGGGAAAUGUGCGAGGAGGAAUUCUGUCGCUCCACCAAACAGGUUCGGGCGGCUUCAAACGAGGGAAAAGGUACCAGAUGUGAAACUUUGAAAUUUUGUAGAUAUUUUGACAGCUCGAGUUUAUUUCUUUUCUUUUUUUUUGACCUAAAGACUCUUACAUUUGUCACCGCGUUCUUUAAAUGACACGAUCGCUGUGCGUUCUAAGUAGCGAGAGUCCUAAACUUAUUCAUUUCUCUCCCUCCCGUCGUCUCUUCCCGGGCCUCACUCGCCAAAAACAUAAUGACUUUCCCAGUUCCGUUCCCUCUUGGGGAGAUUUCUCUUUCCGCCACCAGCCGCUCUUUUCUCUGCCAGGUCUCUGCCGUCGAGCCGCACGCCACCAGAGCAACGCAAACCCUCGUUGUGUCACGACGGUCCGAUCCAAGCAAAUUCAGGCCACGUGCAGGAUGCGUCGGAGGAGCCCGCUGGCGUUCCAAGCGCUGUAUUAAUCUUUCAUCGCUCGCCCUUGGAGCGGUGUCCGGUUGAAUGCUCGGCUGGAAAUGAUGAACAAACGGCGAGACGAUGAUAUCGCGGGUGUAUCAAAAGCACAAUGGGCUUCUUUUUAAUUGCUGAAGUCGCACACGAGUAGGAAGAAAAUGGGGCUAAAAACGUUUCAGGCCACGCGGGCGAAGCGUUUCCAGGUGAGGCUCUUUAAAUGGCUGCUGAAGCUUUGUUGGUGCGUAUUUUGGCAGCGAGUCAUUUCAGAGAUUGUUUAGCUCCUCUGGUGUUGGUGCCUAUUCCCAUUUUUUCGCUUUGCAGUCACACAAAAGAAAAAAAGGUGGGAGGACCGACGGCGGCAAUCAGGACUUGGCGUCGCUCGCGAGCCUCAAAGGUCGCCUGUAACAGUAGCCGGCGUACGGCGACGACGUGCCCGCAGCAACGCUGGGAAAGCAGAGAAACAUGCGCGCGCGAGCCAAGCUCGAAAUCCCUCCUGACGAUCGCCCUUUUUCCUGCACCCAGGGCCAGAUAAAAGGGGGGGUGGGGGGGGGGGUGUUGAUGCCUCUACUGCCCCCCGGAGGCCCCCCGGCCUCACUGGCAGGAAGGCGGGAACCGUCUUCAAGGCCGCUCUUCAAGCGCAGCACUAAUAGCUCGCGUGUUACAUAAAGAACUCCCCGUUGGCCGAUGACGUGGGUUUGGAUUUUGAGUCUAACGUGAUGAUUUACUGCCUUUGGAGAAACAGGGCAUGUAGACAAGAGGUACGAGGUACAGUAAGUCCCGACUGCUUCAUGCGGGACCGAUUUAAUUUUUCAUGUCGGUGUAAGUACGGAGCAAUCGAGGCUACCUGCAAAGUCCUCGAGGAAUCCAAAGAAACAAGUCACGAACGAAUUAAAGAGGCUUUCUGUCCUUCCUGUUAAGAAGUGACGGCUCUGGCAGAGGAAUAUAGCACAAAUGAUGAGACGGGACAUAAAGGAAAAGCCACUGACACAGAGACUAUUUAAUGCCUGUUCUGUUCCUUUUUUCUUUCUCUCUGCACAAGUUUGUCACGACAGUUUACAGCCGAACGUUUCGUCUUUCAGCAGUCACGGCUGGAAUUAAUGGAGCCUUAAACACAGGCAGCUGUGAAUUUUCUGUGCUGCGGCUUGUGGCGUUGGGAAUAAUAGCUGUUGUUCUCAUACGAUGAAACAUCCCUCAUCAGCGUCGUCUUUCGCCUCGAGAACGAGGAAGCGGACGGAGAGGCGCGCGAACCCCGGCGCGACAAUCAAAUCGUUCCCGAUGAAAGAAAACAUAUAUAAAUACGCGAGGCCGAGGAGACAUCUGAUUGGCAUGUUGCGUCGGCGCUUUCAAAAACCAAUAAGGGCUAAUAAAAAUGUAUGCAACGUGUGAAGUCAUUAUGCAAACACAAAGCUUUCUGUUUCGCGGCCAACUGUCACAUGUGAAUGAUUGAUGCUCCUUCUUGUUUAUUAGAUAUCACUGACAGAAAGCACCAGCACAUUUAUUUUCUUCCAUUGAUAUGCAGCGGCUCUCUUAAUGCUUCCCGCAGCGCCGUGAUGAGUCAGGGCGAAUCUAUACGCUGAAUAUAAAUAAGAUUGCACACCCGCAGAGCCCCCCGUGGUCGCGGUGCGCCCCUCCCUCCUCAGCAGCGGGGGCCCCCGCGCCGCAGGGCCGGAAUUCUGCCAGUUUGAACUGUCGGCGACACCGAGCGGCACCUGCUGAAUCCGCCCUCCCCGACCCCCGGCGGCGCCGGUCAACAUCACCGGGAGCCCGUUCCGCUCCGUGCAUCCAGGACAGCUGGUCACGGCUGAGAAUAACCACCAUCACAAGCUUUCCACCUGCCGAUCAAUAACCCCCCCCAACCCCCAACCCGCCUGCGGUCAACCAAGUCCACGCCUGCUGGCCUUGACCCAAAGCCCCCCCGCCCUCCCCGCAUCCCUGGUUUUAAUCCCAAAUCAAACAUCUCAGUGAUCCCUGGAUGAGGUCCUCUGCCCGUGGUUCCUUGUUUAAACACUUGUAUGCCGUCAUGUUUCGGGUAAAUCAUCCACUUUUUCCAUUGUAUACGUUUCCCAAACAAUCUAAAAUAAUUGCUCUUUUCCCGGCAGAUCCGAUUUAACUGGAUUCAUGCUUUGCUGUGUCUGCGUGAACAUACAGGUGGUGGUGGGAGGGGGGCUGGGGGCGGGGGGUCAAGGGUAACCGUAGAUCAAACUACGCGCUUCGCAGGCCCGCGUGUCGGUGGGAAAGGUCAUUUCCUCAUCGACUUCUGUACCGUCUGACUUCUUCUACACCCGGAGGAGUCGCCCCCCCCCCGGACGGCCGUUAGAGGACGGACGCCACAGACGUCGGCGUUGCAGCUGAUAAAAGCUCGUAUUGAUCCACGCCGCCUCUUAGUAUUCCUCAUACAUCGCGGCUUGGCCGACCGGAGAGGUACAUCGCGUCGUUUCAGGAUCACGUUGACACGGCUUCAUAUCAGACUCGAGAAGUAUUGUUGACAUCCAGGUCGCCGCCGUCUCCCACGCGGUCGCCGUGUGUUUCUUUUUUGUUGGAAUUUAUUACAGAGGCUUUCAAGUCAAGAAAAGAAUACAGACAGCCGCCCGUGUAGCAACGACUAUAUUUGUUUUUCGGCCAUUGUACGACAAAAAAACCCCCAAAGAAUGAGCAUUGAUAUUCCCCAUUUACAUAUUUCUUUGAGCCCUUAAUUACAGUGUGUCUGUUCUGUAAAGAAAAAAAGCUUGCACAGGUGUGACAGAACAACAAUGGAGGGCAUUUUCUUGGGCGAGUGACAUUCCCGACACGUUAUUGCUCUUGUCCGACCGGCUCGUUUCCAGCCAAUGUGGGUAUUAUCCUGCAUGAGGGUGUUUGACAGCUCCAUUGCUUUUAAAACUGCGAUUAGGAUAAUUGCAUAGGAGCGCUUUUCUGCUGAAACAGAGGACAACUUGGACCAUGGCACUGGAAUUUCAAUCAGGCUCAUAUACAAGAUCUCUCCUUUCUGUACUGGAGAGGCCAAAACUUUGGCCGUGGGAAAGAAAAUUACCAUCAUGUGAAAUACAUCUGAAGUUCAGCACCACUUUGCAAAGAAUCCAAUGUCAAGCAGCAGAGAAACGCAAUAUAAGAAUAAUUGAUGAUACACAAGUCUCAAUGGAACGGCAUCCAUAUGAAACCCAAUGAUUAUGUGGGCAAAGCCUGAUUGCAAUAGCGGCCAAUGAGAAGAUGAAGAAGAAUGUGGUACAAUGUGACCUCCACCGUGACGCCUUUGAAACGCCUCUGACCUUUAAGUGAUGGCGAAAGGAAACGUAAGAGGAACACAAGUCUAAUGGACGCAGUGGAAGCGUUGAGGUGGAUUCUGACUAAAAUAACCAAAUCACGCUAUUAAACACGGCAAACAGGGUUUGCUGACUUUGGACGGAUGAUGUAUAAGGUGUAUAAACACAUGGAUGGAUGAAUGAUAGAUGGAUGAAUAGAUGAAUGGACCGACUGACAGGUGGAUGGAUGAAUGAUAGAUGGAUGAAUAGAUGAAUGGACCGACUGACAGGUGGAUGGAUGAAUGAUAGAUGGAUGAAUAGAUGGAUGGACAGACUGACAGAUGGAUGGAUGAAUGAUAGAUGGAUGAAUAGAUGGAUGUACAGACUGACAGAUGGAUGGACGAAUGAUAGAUGGAUGAAUAGAUGGAUGGACAGACUGACAGGUGGAUGGAUGAAUGAUAGAUGGAUGAAUAGAUGGAUGGACAGACUGAUAGAUGGAUGGAUGAAUGAUAGAUGGAUGAAUACAUUAAUACAAUACAGGUACUGUCGUCCAGGCGUUGUUCCUCCGCACACAAAGCAAAGUCCGUUUAACAGCAAAAAUAAAACAGACUUUCUGAGUCUUGUGUGGAAUAAUUUGACCUCAUCCCCAUCCGGCACCUUUUGUGAUGAAGCGAAACACCGACCGCCAGCCUGGGGGGGCCGCCGUCGGCUCGCUCACCUCCCCGAUGCCCGCGAGGCCGAGCGACCGGCGUCCAAAAAACACAAACCGGUGGAGCGCCAGAAGAACGCCCGCGCCUGCAUACGGAUGGACGGAUGGAUAGCGCUUAGGUCGACGGGUUCCUUUCACAUUGCGACCGCCGUAACGUAAGACAAAGCAGCGCUUCACUCAACGAAAACACCAGAUGUUGGUGAUCCAAGCAAGCCGCUCAGCCUCGUGAACAAAAAAACGCGCGGCGAAUUGCUCAGAGCGGCGAAAGCAUCGCAUCGGAUCGACGGAUGACAAAAGUUACUGUCGCGGCGCCAAUAGACGGCGGUGGAGGUGGACGGCGGUGCUGAGAGAGGGGUUCUCACAGCGUACAAAGGGGGAGUUGUUAGUGCUCAUUGGCCCGGCGGGCUGUGCGGAGGCCCGAGGAUAAGCCUGAAGCCAGAGGGGGGGGGCGCGAGGUGAGAGCUCAGACAAUACGGCCGGGCUCUGAGGCAAAGGCAGACUACACCAGAUAAUGUGACACGCAGCAGCAUGUCGGCAACAACAAGACCCUUAUUCGCGAUGUCAGGGGCUUCGUGGGCAGAAUGAGGACGAGAGGUAGAGGCGCCGCGGCGAGAAGCAGAGCGAGCGGCAAGAAAGCUCCCGAGUGGCGUCUUAGGGCAGGUUAGCAAAGGUGCGAAGCUGCCUGCACGGAGGGUAGAUGUCGUAUUUCUUCCUGUCCGAACCCUCUGUGGGGACUGAACGGGGCGGCCGGAUCACAUAAUUGGUUCCAGGAGCGGCGAACGACGCGGGGAGGGACUCGAGCGCGCCCCCGAGAAAAAACUUGACGGUGCGAGCGAGAGAAAAGGGAGGAGAAAAAGAAAAAAAGGGAAAACAAAAUAAAUGCGAGUUGACAGUUAAAAUGGGGGACAGUUAGGCUCAGUGUUGUUACCAUGACAAAGAGAAAAAGAGCACAGUGUGCGCUCCCCGCAUGGAGGGUGAGGAGCUUUAAGCACGGAGCAGCAGGAGGCGAGGAAGUGGCACGCUGGGGGCCUCUCGCCGCGGCCGCUCGGACGCCAAAAUGCGUAGAAGCGCCUCAGCGCCUUUGUUCGAAAGCGACUCGGAUUGAAUUUGCCGCCGAGGAGACAACUAUCAAAAAGAGCAAUAGCUCCUGCGGGCGGGGGGGGGGGCCCUUCCAGGCCUGCAGGAGACAGAUUACCCCUCUGCAGGGGCCAGAAGUGACAUCAUCCGGGACUGGAAGCUGGUAGGAGGAGGAGCCAGCACGGCAAGGAGCGCGCCUCACGCAGCACCUCUGGACGGGCUUCCGGGCCGCUCGCCGUCUGCACACGUUUGACUCCGCCGCCCCGCAUCAAAAGGCCGGCGGGGUUAAUCUCGCCCCGGGGGGAGGGGGGGGGGGGUUAAUCUCGCCCCGUGGUAGCGCCCGAUCCACACAGCCGGAUCUAAUGACACGAGCACGUGAAGCUCCACGUUCCUUCUGUUCAAUACCGAGCCGGACAUCACACACACGCACCACGCACACACACACACACACACACACACACACACACACAAUAAUUGGAUAACUCUGAAUUGAGUGCAGAGUUUAGUUCCUAAAUGUGAUUCCCAGAGCAUUAAAACAUUAGGAUGCAACCUUUUAUUUUUAUUUUUAAAGGGUCUAAAGUAAAUGAUGUAAGUUGAAAUUAAAGUAAAAUGCCCUUUUCUAUUUAGAUAAAUGAAGAUAUGCGCAAUUGAAAGUGGGAAAGUGGAGAAGUAAAACCUCAAUGAAAAACACUAUUCUGCUGGAAUUAUUUCAUCAUUUUCUGCACAGCUUUAAAUAAAAGGCAGCUCACACACACAAAGGAGUGUGGGAGGAAAUAGAGAAUUAUUGAACAGGGAAAAUAGAGAAUACAUAACUAGUUAAAUGUUUAACAAUUUAUUCCCCGAAACCAACAAUAGCAUGUGUGAGUAUAAAGCUUUACUUAUCUUUAUACUCACAAUCAGUAUUUGCUUCAUAUGCACUCACACAAUUAUACUUUUUUAUAUUUUCUCUCUUUUAUUGCUGCAUCGUAUCAAUUAAAUAUCAAUUCACAAAUGCGUGUGUUUCAUGAGCGAGAGGCCACUUGCGCAGAGCGCGACUUCUCCCUGGGUUUUCUAUUAUAAUAAGUAUCAUUGCAUAAAAAGUGCCGUGCCAUCUGCUGGGCUCACGGACCCUCGUCCAAAUAUCAAUGAUUUUCCAAUAAAUCUAAAACUAAUGUUUAUCCCAAGCUGUGACACGAACAGCGGCAGUCGGGUCAUUGAGCCUGGACCCAAUUACCCGAUCAUCCAUCACCAGCCAUUGUCGGCCUCCGCAGCCUCAGAAGCAGCAACACGUGCUAUUUUGUCUUCCCCUCGGCGUUGAUAUCGCCGCUCUGGGGAAUCCACAGAAUCAGCAGCCGCCUCCGCGGCCACGUGGUCCUCACCUCUCGUUUCUUUUGCGAGCGUGACCAAACUCCAAAAGGUCCGCUGCUCCAGAAGCCCACGGUAAGUGAUCCGCACAGCAGCUGCGCCACAACACAACACAGCAGUGCAGUUGCUUUUUUUUU